AGCGCCUCCUUCUCUGAAUCCUGUUCUCCCGUUCAAUGGAUCUUUCACGGGAAAACCCACCGCAGGGAAUCAAGAAAAGGGGAAGGAAGGCCAAGAAAGUGCCCCUAGUCGAUGGCAAAGAGCCUCGGAAAGCCAACUUCAUCAAGAAAAUCAUCAAUGGUGAUAAACCAACUCAGGCUAAAAGUUUUGACAAGCGAAAGCCAACUCUGAUGAAGAAGGCUUUUGAGCUCCAGACACUGUGUGGCGUUGAAG
rnacentral:misc_RNA from 1 species